rnacentral:misc_RNA from 1 species
GGCUGUACUUCUAUUGAUGACUCUUGGGAUCUUGACAACAAUGGCAGCAAGUUCAUCAUUUGGGUGGAAGUCUAAUGUUUGUGUCUCUGCUUGUUGUAGGCCCAUGGCAAACAAAACAAAUUCUCUAGCAAAUGAUUGCUCCAUAUAGUUCUCUCUAGUCCAACGGGAAAACUGUGAACCAGAAACCUUCAAUUGAGCUACAACAUUAGGAAUAUAAUCAUGACCUUUGCCUUUGCCCCCUUGGUUCAUCCACCCCCCAUUUUUUUU